rnacentral:rRNA from 1 species
UACGUAGGGGGCGAGCGUUGUCCGGAGUUACUGGGCGUAAGGGCAUGCAGCGGUCCGACACGUUUUGUGUGACAGCGGGUGGCUUAACUACCCGAGGAUACGAAAGACGGUUGGACUUGAGGACUCGAGAGGGACACGGAAUUCCGGGUGGAGUGGUGAAAUGCGUAGAGAUCCGGAGGAACACCGAAGGCGAAGGCAGUGUCCUGGCGAGUGACUGACGCUGAGGUGCGAAAGCCAGGGGAGCGAACGGG